UUUGAUGAACAUAGACUGGAAUAUAGAAACCAAAAAUAUUUUGAGCUGGGAGGGAGGGUUGAUUUGUCUAAACCUGCUGGAGGUGAGUGGUCAGGCCCUGAACCGGGUCAUGCAUGCUGAAGAAGCAAUCGUUGGCCUCCAUUUGUGUAUGGCGCGUGCGUGGUGAUGUCUUAACCACACCAAUUCCACCUGGACGGGCUGCAGUUGUUACCAAUUGUGAGUGACCAUACCAUAGGGAUGAACCAGCAGAGAAGACCCAGUGGUCACAUGAGGCCAGGCUGAGUGCAAUGACCAAGACAAAGGCAUGUCUAGGUUACCCAGUGGGAGCAGUGGAAGCGGCGCUUGUCAUUUGGAGCGGGUCAGGAGCCAUCCCAUGCCACCGCGGCCUCUGUAGUCUCACGACUUCCUCUGCACGCCCGGGGCACUUCAUUCACGGCAUGGAUGUGGCCCUCGUGUUGCUGAUUCUCAUAGUUUUUGGUGCAUCCUUCUUCACUCCAUCAGCCGCGAGGAUUUUGUCUUCUGCCGUCUUGUGUUUUGACUUCCCCUUCUGCCCUUUCUCUCAAGGUCGCCGUUUGCACACAGCAGCAUCUGGAGGGAUGAGCUCGCCUGAUUCCAUGCAGAAUCGAACUCAGCUCCGUGGUUCACACUUGUUUCCAGAGAUGCCAACAAGCUGCUCUUCCCCGAGUCCCCGCAGGUUAAACCAACUUGAC
rnacentral:lncRNA from 1 species